rnacentral:rRNA from 1 species
GCACCUCCGGUGUCCGCGUUGUAAUCUCGAGACGUGUUUUCCGUGCGGCUCUAUGGACAAGUCCCUUGGAAUAGGGCAUCGUAGAGGGUGAGAAUCCCGUACUUGCCAUGGAAGAACCGUGCUUUGCGAUACACGCUCUAAGAGUCGAGUUGUUUGGGAUUGCAGCUCAAAAUGGGUGGUAGACUCCAUCUAAAGCUAAAUAUCGGGGAGAGACCGAUAGCGAACAAGUACCGUGAGGGAAAGAUGAAAAGCACUUUGGAAAGAGAGUUAAAAGUACGUGAAAUUGUCGAAAGGGAAGCACUUGAAGUCAGCCAUGCUGCUUGAGACUCAGCCUGGCCUUUGGGCUUGGUGUAUUUCUCGGUGGCAAGCCAGCAUUGGUUUGGGUCGUCGGAGAAGCGCAUAGGGAAUGUAGCGUCUCCGGACGUGUUAUAGCCUUAUGCAGGAUACGACGACCUGGAUCAAGGAACGCAGUGUGCCCUCUGGGCGG